AGAGCGAACGCUGGCGGCAGGCCUAACACAUGCAAGUCGAGCGCCCGUAGCAAUACGGGAGCGGCAGACGGGAUAGUAACACGUGGGAACGCGCCCUUCGGUUCGGAAUAACUCAGGGAAACUUGAGCUAAUACCGAAUACGCCCUUACGGGGAAAGAUUUAUUGCCGAAGGAACGGCCCGCGUCCGAUUAGCUAGUUGGUGAGGUAAUGGCUCACCAAGGCUACGAUCGGUAGCUGGUCUGAGAGGAUGACCAGCAUCACUGGGACUGAGACACGGCCCAGACUCCUACGGGAGGCAGCAGUUAGGAAUCUUGCGCAAUGGGCGAAAGCCUGACGCAGCCAUGCCGCGUGAAUGAUGAAGGUCUUAGGAUUGUAAAUUCUUUCAGUGGGAAGAUAAUGACUGUACCCACAGAAGAAGCUCCGGCUAACUUCGCGCCAGCCAGGCCGC
rnacentral:rRNA from 1 species